UGGGGAAUAUUGGACAAUGGGCGCAAGCCUGACCCAGCCAUGCCGCGUGAGUGAUGAAGGCCCUAGGGUUGUAAAGCUCUUUCACCGGUGAAGAUAAUGACGGUAACCGGAGAAGAAGCCCCGGCUAACUUCGUGCCAGCAGCCGCGGUAAUACGAAGGGGGCUAGCGUUGUUCGGAUUUACUGGGCGUAAAGCGCACGUAGGCGGACUUUUAAGUCAGGGGUGAAAUCCCGGGGCUCAACCCCGGAACUGCCUUUGAUACUGGAAGUCUUGAGUAUGGUAGAGGUGAGUGGAAUUCCGGGUGUAGAGGUGAAAUUCGUAGAUAUUCGGAGGAACACCAGUGGCGAAGGCGGCUCCCUGGACCAUUACUGACGCUGAGGUGCGAAAGCGUGGGGAGCAAACAGG
rnacentral:rRNA from 1 species